UACGAAGGGGGCUAGCGUUGUUCGGAAUUACUGGGCGUAAAGCGUGCGCAGGCGGCUUCUCAAGUCAGGGGUGAAAGCCCAGAGCUCAACUCUGGAAUUGCCUUUGAGACUGAGUGGCUUGAGUACGAGAGAGGUGAGUGGAACUGCGAGUGUAGAGGUGAAAUUCGUAGAUAUUCGCAAGAACACCAGUGGCGAAGGCGGCUCACUGGCCCGAUACUGACGCUGAGGUGCGAAAGCGUGGGGAGCAAACAGG
rnacentral:rRNA from 1 species